GACGAACGCUGGCGGCGUGCUUAACACAUGCAAGUCGAACGGUAAGGCCUUUCGGGGUCCACGAGUGGCGAACGGGUGAGUAACACGUGGGUGAUCUGCCCUGCACUUCGGGAUAAGCCCGGGAAACUGGGUCUAAUACCGGAUAGGACUGCGCGGUGCAUGCCGUGUGGUGGAAAGAUUUAUCGGUGCAGGAUGGGCCCGCGGCCUAUCAGCUUGUUGGUGGGGUAAUGGCCUACCAAGGCGACGACGGGUAGCCGGCCUGAGAGGGCGACCGGCCACACUGGGACUGAGACACGGCCCAGACUCCUACGGGAGGCAGCAGUGGGGAAUAUUGCACAAUGGGCGCAAGCCUGAUGCAGCGACGCCGCGUGAGGGAUGACGGCCUUCGGGUUGUAAACCUCUUUCAGCAGGGACGAAGCGUGAGUGACGGUACCUGCAGAAGAAGCACCGGCCAACUACGUG
rnacentral:rRNA from 1 species